AGAGCGAACGCUGGCGGCAGGCCUAACACAUGCAAGUCGAGCGCCCCGCAAGGGGAGCGGCAGACGGGAGAGUAACACGUGGGAACGUACCCUUUGGUUCGGAACAACACAGGGAAACUUGUGCUAAUACCGGAUAAGCCCUUACGGGGAAAGAUUUAUUGCCAAAGGAUCGGCCCGCGUCUGAUUAGCUUGUUGGUGAGGUAACGGCUCACCAAGGCUACGAUCAGUAGCUGGUCUGAGAGGAUGAUCAGCCUCACUGGGACUGAGACACGGCCCAGACUCCUACGGGAGGCAGCAGUGGGGAAUAUUGGACAAUGGGCGCAAGCCUGAUCCAGCCAUGCCGCGUGGAUGAUGAAGGCCCCUAGGGUUGUAAAGUCCUUUCGACGGGGAAGAUAAUGACGGUACCCGUAGAAGAAGCCCCGGCUAACUUCGUGCCAGCAGCCGC
rnacentral:rRNA from 1 species